rnacentral:rRNA from 1 species
AUACGUAGGUGGCGAGCGUUGUCCGGAAUUACUGGGCGUAAAGGAUGCGUAGGUGGAUAUUUAAGUGGGAUGUGAAAUCCCCGGGCUCAACCCGGGAACUGCAUUCCAAACUGGGUAUCUAGAGUGCAGGAGAGGAAAGCGGAAUUCCUAGUGUAGCGGUGAAAUGCGUAGAUAUUAGGAGGAACACCAGUGGCGAAGGCGGCUUUCUGGACUGUAACUGACCCGGAGGCAUGAAAGCGUGGGUAGCAAACAGGAUUAGAUACCCUGGUAGUCCACGCCGUAAACGAUGGGUACUAGGUGUAGGAGGUAUCGACCCCUUCUGUGCCGUCGUUAACACAAUAAGUACCCCGCCUGGGGAGUACGGUCGCAAGACUAAAACUCAAAGGAAUUGACGGGG